AGUUCGAUUAUGGCUCAGAUUGAACGCUGGCGGGAUGCUUUACACAUGCAAGUCGAACGGCGGCACGGACUUCGGUCUGGUGGCGAGUGGCGAACGUUGAGUAUCGGAACGUGCCUAGUAGCGGGGAGGAUAACUACGCGAAAGCGUAGCUAAUACGCCACGCCCUUCGGGGAAAGCGGGGGACCUUCGGGCUCGCACUAUUAGAGCGGCCGAUAUCGGAUUAGCUAGUUGGUGGGGUAACGGCUCACCAAGGCGACGAUCCGUAGCUGGUUUGAAGAGGACGACCAGCCACACUGGGACUGAGACACGGCCCAGACUCCUACGGGGAGGCAGCAGUGGGGAAUUUUGGACAAUGGGGAAACCCUGAUCCAGCCAUCCGUGUUGAUAAGAAGGCCUUCGGGUUGUAAAGCACUUUUAA
rnacentral:misc_RNA from 1 species